rnacentral:lncRNA from 1 species
UAGGUUAUAAUAAGGUAAUGCACGAGAUCGACGUGAGUGAUGCCUCAAGACUAAACUGAUUCCCAUAGUUCUUCAGCUUGACUUCUCGAAGUUUUAUUGAUUGCGUGAUCCUUAUUAACUAACUCAGGCAAGCCCAAUUAUUUGUGUAUUUGCAAUAUAGUUUUCGUUAAUAAUUUUGUUAUUACUCAUUCACAUGACAAAAAAUAAGCACUUUCGAAAAAGCAACAGUAGUUGGUUGACUCUGGCCUCCAAUUGUCUAGGAUCACGAGGUACAGAGUGAUCAUGGGCAGUGGCCUAACUGUAAAGGAGGAGGGCUUGUAUAGAGGGGUUAAGUUGCAACUAUAAAGCAAUUCUUUAGCUUUUUGUAUUCAAAUAUUGUCAAAUCAAUGGAAUUAUGGAAAGAUUCACACCCUUUAUUUAACAAGACAAAAUUGAUAAUUGAAUUUUCACUUUUCAAACUCAAUUUAUUAUCCUUAGCUAAGUGAAGUGCUGAGGCAAGAACAGUACUUGUCAGUCAAUUUUUGCAUAUAAUUUCCCUGAUUAAACAUUGCUUUAUGAAGAGUUUUGGUUAUAGUAUCUUUAUAAGUAAAAACUAACAGCAGGAUACGGGCUGAAUGGGAAUUAAGUCAAUUUCUUUAUUGCAGAGUUUUGAUUAAUAAAGCAGUAAGUAUGGCUUGGUAAAAACAUCUACAAGUUGAUUAGCUAAAGAAACAUAUUUGGUUACAACCGAACCAUCUUGUAUUUUGUCACGAAUAAAAUGGCAAUCAAUCUCUAUAUGUCUGGUUCUUUCAUGAAAAAGGGGAUUGGCCACUAUGUGCAAGGCUGCCUUAUUAUCGCAAUAUAAUAAUGCUGGCUUCUAAUGUAAUAUUCGCAAGUCUUUCAGCAAUGAACGUAGCCAGGAUAAUUCACAACGCGCACCUGUCAUGGCUCUAUAUUCGGCUUCAGCUAAGGACAGAGAUAUAGUUUUCUGUCUUUUUGUUCGCCAGGAAAUAAGAGAAGAUCCCAAAAAUAUACAAUAACUUGUGGUGGAUUUACAAGAAGUUGGGCAACCUGCCUAAUUCGAAUCACAGAAGGAUCGCAAAGAUAAGUCAUUUUGAGAAGAAAAGAACAAACCUUGUCCUAGAUUAUUCUUCAAAUAACGCAACACACGCAUUGCAGCUUCCAUAUAUGGUUUGCAUGGUGCAUGCAUAAAUUUACUCUGUACAUGAACUAAAUAAGUGAUAUCCGAGCGGGUAAUUGUCAAGUAAAUUAGGCGUCCAACAAUUCGCCUAUAUUGAGAAGGAUCUCUAAGCAAAUCACCUUCGUCCGAGAGCUUAACAUUCUGCUCCAUUGGAAAGUUCACACGUUUAGCUCCCAAAAAUCCACCAUCUUUUAGAAUUUCCGAAGUGUAUUUUCUUUGCUAAAUGGAAAUACCUUUCUUUGAACGAGAGACUUCAAUGCCUAGAAAAUAUUUUAAAUCACCUAAAUCUUUAAUCCGAAAGUGAUUAUGCAGAAAUUGCUUAAGAGCAGAUAUGGCAGUGACAUCAUUACCCGUAAUGAGAAUGUCAUCAACAUAUAUUAAUAAUGCUAUAAAGGAUUUGCCUUUCCGACAUGUGAAUAAUGAAUAAUCUGCUUUGGAUUGAACAAAUCCAGCAGCUUGGAUAGAUGUAGAGAACUUGGCAAACCAUUGACGAGAGGCUUGACAAAACAAAGUCACAGAACAACGAUUCCAUCUCAUAAAUUGGUUGGCACAAUAUUAAUCAGAAGUUCAGGACACAAAACAUUAUCAUAAUUUGGAACCCCUAACAUUUUCAAUCGAGUUUGAACCUUCACUUUAUUGUAAAUCUCAGAUAUUCCACUACAACCCAAUAAAUGAAUUGACUCAAAACAUUAUGAUAAUUUGGAACCCAUAACAUUUUCAAUGGAGUUUGAACCUUCACUUUACUGUAGAUCUCAUAUAUUCCACUGCAACCCAGUAAAUAAAUUGAUAGAAACACAAUAAACGAAUUUAUAACAAUCGAAUAACCUAAUUUGCAUUUCACAAUAUUUUCCAACAAAAUCGAUAACAACCCCACAAAUAAAAAUCAAUAAUGAUACCUCUAAGCUUUCUCUUGUGCUAACUUGGAUCUUUAGGUUACUGAGCUUGAUGGCUGAUUUUAAGGUGGCGGGUUGAAGCAGAGAAAAUUGAAGGGAGAAGAAGAAAGAAAACGUGAAGGGAGAAAGAAAGAGGAAAAGGAAAACAG